GAGACGUUAGAGGGGGUUGUUAGCGGCUGUUGGGAGAACGGGUCACGGAAACAGUCCCUUCCAAAGCCGGGGCCAUCGUGGGGUGGGCGAGUCCGCCCUCCCAGGCCGGGGGCGCGGACCAGAGGGGACGUGUGCAGACGGCCGCGGUCAGCCCCACCUCGCCCGGGCGGAGACGCACAGCUGGAGCUGGAGGGCCGUCGCCCGUUGGGCCCUCAGGGGCCUGAACGCCCAGGGGUCGCGGCGAGUCCACCCGGAGCGAGUCAGCAGCAGCCCGUGGAGUCUGAAGCAAUGCACUGCAGCAACCCCAAGAGUGGAGUUGUGCUGGCUACAGUGGCCCGAGGUCCCGAUGCUUGUCAGAUACUCACCAGAGCCCCGCUGGGCCAGGAUCCCCCGCAGAGGACAGUGCUAGGGCUGCUAACUGCAAAUGGGCAGUACAGGAGGACCUGUGGCCAGGGGAUCACAAGAAUCAGGUGUUAUUCUGGAUCAGAAAAUGCCUUCCCUCCAGCUGGAAAGAAAGCACUCCCUGACUGUGGGGU
rnacentral:lncRNA from 1 species